UUCUGUGAACUGUGGGGACCAUCUCCCCCUGCAGAUCCAGCAGCGGCAUGUGUCGCAGAAGAUGUAUUCAUUUUAAAGAUUAGAAGGAG
rnacentral:ncRNA from 1 species